rnacentral:tRNA from 1 species
GCCGCUAUGGUGAAAUUGGUAGACACGCUGCUCUUAGGAAGCAGUGCUCACGCAUCUCGGUUCGAAUCCGAGUGGCGGCA